rnacentral:tRNA from 10 species
GGAGACUUAGCUCAGCUGGGAGAGCAUCUGCCUUACAAGCAGAGGGUCGGGGGUUCGAUCCCCUCAGUCUCCACCA